rnacentral:rRNA from 1 species
UUUACGGAGAGUUUGAUCCUGGCUCAGGAUGAACGCUGGCGGCGUGCUUAACACAUGCAAGUCGAACGGUGAAGCAGAGCUUGCUCUGUGGAUCAGUGGCGAACGGGUGAGUAACACGUGAGCAACCUGCCCCUGACUCUGGGAUAAGCGCUGGAAACGGCGUCUAAUACUGGAUACGAGCUGCGACCGCAUGGUCAGCAGUUGGAAAGAUUUUUCGGUCUGGGAUGGGCUCGCGGCCUAUCAGCUUGUUGGUGAGGUAAUGGCUCACCAAGGCGUCGACGGGUAGCCGGCCUGAGAGGGUGACCGGCCACACUGGGACUGAGACACGGCCCAGACUCCUACGGGAGGCAGCAGUGGGGAAUAUUGCACAAUGGGCGAAAGCCUGAUGCAGCAACGCCGCGUGAGGGACGACGGCCUUCGGGUUGUAAACCUCUUUUAGCAGGGAAGAAGCGAAAGUGACGGUACCUGCAGAAAAAGCGCCGGCUAACUACGUGCCAGCAGCCGCGGUAAUACGUAGGGCGCAAGCGUUAUCCGGAAUUAUUGGGCGUAAAGAGCUCGUAGGCGGUUUGUCGCGUCUGCUGUGAAAUCCCGAGGCUCAACCUCGGGCCUGCAGUGGGUACGGGCAGACUAGAGUGCGGUAGGGGAGAUUGGAAUUCCUGGUGUAGCGGUGGAAUGCGCAGAUAUCAGGAGGAACACCGAUGGCGAAGGCAGAUCUCUGGGCCGUAACUGACGCUGAGGAGCGAAAGGGUGGGGAGCAAACAGGCUUAGAUACCCUGGUAGUCCACCCCGUAAACGUUGGGAACUAGUUGUGGGGUCCAUUCCACGGAUUCCGUGACGCAGCUAACGCAUUAAGUUCCCCGCCUGGGGAGUACGGCCGCAAGGCUAAAACUCAAAGGAAUUGACGGGGACCCGCACAAGCGGCGGAGCAUGCGGAUUAAUUCGAUGCAACGCGAAGAACCUUACCAAGGCUUGACAUAUACGAGAACGGGCCAGAAAUGGUCAACUCUUUGGACACUCGUAAACAGGUGGUGCAUGGUUGUCGUCAGCUCGUGUCGUGAGAUGUUGGGUUAAGUCCCGCAACGAGCGCAACCCUCGUUCUAUGUUGCCAGCACGUAAUGGUGGGAACUCAUGGGAUACUGCCGGGGUCAACUCGGAGGAAGGUGGGGAUGACGUCAAAUCAUCAUGCCCCUUAUGUCUUGGGCUUCACGCAUGCUACAAUGGCCGGUACAAAGGGCUGCAAUACCGUAAGGUGGAGCGAAUCCCAAAAAGCCGGUCCCAGUUCGGAUUGAGGUCUGCAACUCGACCUCAUGAAGUCGGAGUCGCUAGUAAUCGCAGAUCAGCAACGCUGCGGUGAAUACGUUCCCGGGUCUUGUACACACCGCCCGUCAAGUCAUGAAAGUCGGUAACACCUGAAGCCGGUGGCCCAACCCUUGUGGAGGGAGCCGUCGAAGGUGGGAUCGGUAAUUAGGACUAAGUCGUAACAAGGUAGCCGUACCGGAAGGUGCGGCUGGAUCACCUCCUUUCUA